rnacentral:tRNA from 1 species
GCCUGGAUGGCUCAGUUGGUUAAGCGACCAACUUUGCCUUUGGUCAUGAUCUCACGGUUUGUGGGUUUGAGUCCCACAUCGGGCU